rnacentral:tRNA from 1 species
AGCAGUGUGGCUUUGUGGAAAAAGCAUGGGCCUGGAAGUCAGAAGACCUAGGUUCUAAUCCUGGCUCUGCCA